rnacentral:lncRNA from 1 species
CAGGUCACAGUGUGCCAAACUUCAUGAAGGAACUUGAAGAAUCCAGAGCCCUCUGGAUUGUGAAAUCACAGAUGACAAAUGGUGGAUCUGUAUUAUUAUGCUCACUUUAUAGCCGUAGAUACAGACGUUCAGAGUGUUUCUAUAACUCAUGUAAACCACAGAACUGCUGAGUAGCAGAAUUUGAACACCAACUCAGGCCUCCUGAUUCUAAUACCUGCUCCAUCAGCCUUCAAGGAACAUUUGUCUCUGGAAGCAUCAAACACAGAAACUUUUACCAACAAGCAGCUGUAAUUUCCACUCAUCAAGGGCAGAGGCAGCAGAACCUUUGGAAUCCCUCAGUCCAGUUUGAAGAAUAAUCUACCACGUCUGAACACAGUUUGCUCUAAAAUCCUUGCUACUCAGGGAUGGUCCAUGAACCAGCAACAUAGGCAUCACUGGGAGCUUGUUAGGAAUGCAAGAUCUCAGGCCUCAAGGAAGACUUCUGAAUCAGAAAUGCAGGUGACCAAGAGCAGAUGCUGACACCAGGGAAAGACAGAGGGAACUGGAGGGGUGAUGGCCAAAAGGUCACAGCAGCACAGCCCACCUGCGGGUCCUUGAAGCUCCAGGGCAGCUGGGAUACUGAUGAAGGAUGCUCACCCCUCAGGAGUGCCCUGGCAGGUUCGGUGAUUAGCAUGUGGUGUUGGAGAAGACUCUUGAGAGUGCCUUGGACUGCAAGGAGAUCCAACCAAUCCAUUCUGAAGGAGAUCAAUCCUGGAUGUUCUUUGGAAGGAGUGAUGCUAAAGCUGAAACUCCAAUACUUUGGCCACCUUAGGCGAAGAAUUGACUGAUUGGAAAGACUCUGAUGCUGGGAGGGAUUGGGGGCAGGAGGAGAAGGGGAGAACAGAGGCUGAGAUGGCUGGAUGGCAUCACGGACUCGAUGGACGUGAGUCUGAGUGAACUCCGGGAGUUGGUGAUGGACAGGGAGGCCUGGCGUGCUGCGAUUCAUGGGGUCGCAAAGAGUCAGACACGACUGAGUGACUGAACUGAACUGAACUGAACUGAAAAGUAAUUUUUAAAAUCUCUUGUGAUUCUAUUAAUAUUAUCUAGAAAUAACAGAUGCUAACAUUCGGCUUGUGUUCUUUAAAAUGUUUACUAUCCAUAUACACAGAUGUAUGUGUAUAUAUUUUUUUCUUUGCAAAUUUGCCAUGGAC